AAACCCUUUGAAAUUAGCCGCGAAAUGAACUUGUCUCAUUCUGAAGGGACGUACGUUAAAUUAAGUUAAACUUGAUGGCGCAAAUAACCGCGAAGACUAAAGAUUUUAAUUCUGUAUAUUACUAAAGACUGAAGAUAAUACCACCGCGAUAGAUUCUGUAUGUAACUGACUUUAUUCUGAGUUGAGGACACUUUAUAAAACCUACAGAGGAUGGGACUUCACUAACAUGACGCAGUUUGAAAUUCAUCUGACAGACAGACGGACGGAUGGGUGCUAAGCCAAAGUUAAGCAUUAUAAAUGCUAUCCCUGUUGGUUUAUUUGCGCGUGAGGUGGUUCAAGAUACAGUCUGAGGGCAGUUCAUGAAGUCAGUUCUAGUUCCACCUGCCACAUCAGACUCUGCUUUAUGGAGGCCCUUAUGUGUGUAACGUUACUUUUCAUUACUGUGCAUUCAGAUAUUAUUCAGGUCACCGUAGCCACCCGGACUCAGUCUGUAUCCACAUCAGAUGGUGGAGACAACUCUAUAGCCCUGAAUGUCAGCAGAGACCAUGUCAACUAGAUGAGCCCCAAAGACAGAUCUCCAGUCCUCAUCAACUAUACGGCCAUUGGCACAAAACCUCAGCAAAGAGCACGAUGACAAACACCAUGUUGGUUCAUCUGGCCAGAGAACUGGCCCCCGAUUGAGCCUGCUUUCUACCAAGGUUUUUUCUCCAUUUCUGUCACCUUUGGCUUGCUUAUUUGGGGACACUUAAUUUUUGGGAACAUUAACGACUUGAUUGCAGAGACACUAUUUGAAGGAAACUGAACUGAGCUGGAUGAUGAUGACGUCACUGAAUCAACGAUGAACUGACUUUAACUGAAAUAUUGACCGUUUACUUUUAUGCUCUUUUUAGAGCUGCUUUACUGCAUAACUUAAUUUUGUUUGCAUUAUUGACACUCUUUUCCUGUUUAACAAUGUAAAGCUGCUUUGACACCAUCUGUAUUGUAUGAAGUGCUAUAUAUAAAUAAGGGUGAGUUGAUUUGCUUUUGACAAUUCUUCAUAGAAAUGUUUGUAUGCAGUCUGUUUUGAACAAUUUAGUUUUUUUGAGAAUUGUGUUAGUAGCCUUCGAUGUGAAAGAAAUCAGUAAAAUAAGAUUAGAUCAAAUCAGUCUCAAGUGAAUUGUAAUUACACAAAUACAAUAAGUUGUGGUUACUUAAUU